rnacentral:rRNA from 1 species
UACGGAAGGGGCAAGCGUUGUUCGGAUUUACUGGCGUAAAGGGCGCGUAGGCGGCCAGCACAAGUCAGUUGUGAAAUCUCCGAGCUUAACUCGGAAAGGUCAACUGAUACUGUGCGGCUAGAGUGCAGAAGGGGCAACUGGAAUUCUUGGUGUAGCGGUGAAAUGCGUAGAUAUCAAGAGGAACACCUGCGGCGAAGGCGGGUUGCUGGGCUGACACUGACGCUGAAGCGCGAAAGCCAGGGGAGCGAACGGG